UACGGGGGGGGCAAGCGUUGUUCGGAAUUACUGGGCGUAAAGGGCUCGUAGGUGGCCAACUAAGUCAGACGUGAAAUCCCCAGGCUUAACUUGGGAACUGCGUCUGAUACUGGGAGGCUUGAGUGCGGGAGAGGGAUGUGGAAUUCCAGGUGUAGCGGUGAAAUGCGUAGAUAUCUGGAGGAACACCGGUGGCGAAGGCGGCAUCCUGGACCGACACUGACGCUGAGGCGCGAAAGCGUGGGGAGCAAACAGG
rnacentral:rRNA from 1 species